rnacentral:rRNA from 1 species
UGGGGAAUAUUGCACAAUGGGCGAAAGCCUGAUGCAGCGACGCCGCGUGAGGGAUGACGGCCUUCGGGUUGUAAACCUCUUUCAGUAGGGGCGAAGCGCAAGUGACGGUACCUGCAGAAGAAGCACCGGCUAACUACGUGCGAGCAGCCGCUGUAAUACGUAGGGUGCGAGCGUUGUCCGGAAUUACUGGGCGUAAAGAGCUCGUAGGCGGUUUGUCACGUCGUCUGUGAAAUCCUAGGGCUUAACCCUGGACGUGCAGGCGAUACAGGCUGACUUGAGGACUACAGGGGAGACUGGAAUUUCUGGUGUAGCGGUGGAAUGCACAGAUAUCAGGAAGAACACCGAUGGCGAAGGCAGGUCUCUGGGUAGUAACUGACGCUGAGGAGCGAAAGCAUGGGUAGCGAACAGG